GAUGAACGCUGGCGGCGUGCCUAAUACAUGCAAGUCGAGCGAACGGACGAGAAGCUUGCUUCUCUGAUGUUAGCGGCGGACGGGUGAGUAACACGUGGAUAACCUACCUAUAAGACUGGGAUAACUUCGGGAAACCGGAGCUAAUACCGGAUAAUAUUUUGAACCGCAUGGUUCAAAAGUGAAAGACGGUCUUGCUGUCACUUAUAGAUGGAUCCGCGCUGCAUUAGCUAGUUGGUAAGGUAACGGCUUACCAAGGCAACGAUGCAUAGCCGACCUGAGAGGGUGAUCGGCCACACUGGAACGGAGACACGGUCCAGACUCCUACGGGAGGCAGCAGUAGGGAAUCUUGCGCAAUGGGCGAAAGCCUGACGGAGCAACGCCGCGUGAGUGAUGAAGGUCGUCGGAUCGUAAAACUCUGUUAUGAGGGAAGAACAUAUGUGUAAGUAACUGUGCACAUCUUGACGGUACCUAAUCAGAAAGCCACGGCUAACUACGUG
rnacentral:rRNA from 1 species